GCUUAACACAUGCAAGUCGAACGGUGAACCGGGCUUCGCGGGGAUCAGUGGCGAACGGGUGCGUAACACGUGGGCAACCUGCCCCCUCUGGGAUAACUCCGGGAAACCGGGGCUAAUACCGGAUACUCCGGCACCGCAUGGUUCGAUCGGGAAAGGUCCGCCGGUGAGGGAUGGGCCCGCCUAUCAGCUCGUUGGUGGGGUAACGGCCCACCAAGGCUGCGACGGGCUGGUCUGAGAGGACGGCCAGCCACACUGGGACUGAGAUACGGCCCAUCCUACGGGAGGCAGCAGUGGGGAAUCUUGCGCAAUGGGCGAAAGCCCGCAGCGACACCGCGUGGGGGACGAAGGCCCUCGGGUUGUAAACCCCCGACAGGGAAGAAGCGAACGUACGGUACCUGUAGAAGAAGCGGCUAACUACGUGCCAGCAGCCGCGGUAAGACGUAGGCGAGCGUUGUCCGGAUUCAUUGGGCGUAAAGCGCGUAGGCGGCCCGGUAAGUCGGGUGUAAAUCCUGCUCAACCCCCAGGACUGCACUCGAUACUGUCGGGCAGGAGGGUAGGGUUAGGGGGAAGAUUCCGGGAAUUUCCCCUUGGUUACGGUAAAAUGCGCAAUUCAGGAGGAACACCGGUUGCAAGGAUCUCUGGCCUUACUACGCUCAGGCGCGAAAGCUAGGGGAAACAGGAUUAGAUACCCUGGUAGUCCUAACCGUAAACGUUGGGUGCUUGUGGGUGGACAUCGACCCCAUCCGUGCCGAAGCUAACGCAUUAAGCCCGCCUGGGGAGUACGGCCGCAAGGCUAAAACUCAAAGGAAUUGAGGGCCCGCACAAGCGGCGGAGCAUGCGGCUUAAUUCGAUGCAACGCGAACCUUACCUGGGCUUGACAUGCAGGGUGAAACCCGUGAAAGCGGGCUCUUCGGAGCCUGCACAGGUGGUGCAUGGCUGUCGUCAGCUCGUGUGAGGUGUUGCCUUAAGUGGCGCAACGAGCGCAACCCCUGUCAGUUGCCAGCGGAUCAUGCCGGGAACUCUAGGGAGACUGCCGGUGCACCGGAGGAAGGUGGGGAUGACGUCAAGUCAGCAUGCCCCUUAUGAGGGCUGCACGCAUGCUACAAUGCGCGGUACAGAGGGCGGCGAUCCCAGGGGGAGCGAAUCCCAAAAAGCCGCGCUCAGUUCGGAUCGAGGUCUACCCGACCUCGUGAAGUCGGAGUCGCUAGUAAUCGCAGAUCAGCAUUGCGGUGAAUACGUUCCCGGGCCUUGUACACACCGCCCGUCACACCACAGUGGGCAACACCCGAAGCCGGUGGCCUAACCCUCGUGGAGGGAGCCGAAGGUGGGGCUCGCGAUUGGGGUGAAGUCGUACAAGGUAGCCGUAGAAGCUGCGGCUGGAUCACCUCCUU
rnacentral:rRNA from 1 species